CACGUAGGGUGCGAGCGUUGUCCGGAAUUCUUGGGCGUAAAGAGCUCGUAGGCGGUGUGUCGCGUCGGCCGUGAAAACCUGCAGCUUAACUGUGGGCGUGCGGUCGAUACGGGCAUCACUGGAGUUCGGCAGGGGAGACUGGAAUUCCUGGUGUAGCGGUGAAAUGCGCAGAUAUCAGGAGGAACACCGGUGGCGAAGGCGGGUCUCUGGGCCGAUACUGACGCUGAGGAGCGAAAGCGUGGGGAGCGAACAGG
rnacentral:rRNA from 1 species